rnacentral:rRNA from 1 species
GACGAACGCUGGCGGCGUGCUUAACACAUGCAAGUCGUACGGUAAGGCCCUUUCGGGGGUGCACGAGUGGCGAACGGGUGAGUAACACGUGCGUAACCUGCCCACAACUUUGGGAUAAAGCUCGGAAACUGGUGCUAAUAAUGGAUAGGUGCCACUGCUGCAUGGAGGGGGUUGGAAAGCUACGUCGGGUGUGGAUGGACUCGCGGCCUGUCAGCUUGUUGGUGGGGUAGUGGCCUACCAAGGCGGUGACGGGUAGCCGGCCUGAGUGGGUGGACGGCCAAAUUUGGACUGAGAGACGGCCCAGAAUCCUACGGGAGGCAGCAGUGGGGAAUAUUGGACCAUGGGCGCGAGCCUGAUGCAGCAACGCCGCGGGCGGGAUGACCGCCUUCGGGUUGGAAACCGCUUUCAGCAGGGACCGAGCUUUUUGUGACGGUACCUGCAGAAGAAGCACCGGCUAACUACGUG